AUUUUGAAACUCAAACUAGAUUAGUGCUAGUAGAAAUGUAAUGUGAGGCACAUGUGGAAUUUUAAAUCAUGUAGUUGUUACACUUAAAAAAAUCUAUGAUUUUGAUAAUUUAUUUUGUUAAAUUUAGUUUCCCCCAAAAUGUUAUCAUUUCCACAUGUAAUCAGUGUUAAAAUACUGAAAUACUUUGUUUCUUUAAAGAUAAGUGUUAAGUCCAGAGUAUAUUUUAGACUGUGCAUAUCUCCAUGCAGACUGACUACAUAUCAAGGAUUCAGAAACCACAUGUGGCAAGUUGCCACCAAACUGACAAGUGUAGUUCUAGACAGUAACAGCAGCUUAUUGUUGUUAAAUGUACAGGUAGGUUUGUUCAAUAGGAUAGUAUAACAUUUUAUAAUACCCAGGCCAUAUUCAAGAAGAAAAUAGAAAUGCCAACUCUUCAGACUUAAGAAUAAGGCAUAAUGAAGCACAUAUGAUGAAAAGAUACCAAAAAAAGUAACUAAAGUAAUGAAAAUUCAAUUUGUAGCUUUCUUUCCAGCUAAGGUGGGGAAGAUAACAUUGAAAACUCGACCAAUUCAGCAGAAAACAAGAAAACUUUAGAAAGAUUUUUUUUUAAGUAAAGGAAAGGAUGAUACAUAGGAAAUAAAUAGUAGAAUUUCAAAUAUAUGAGUAUUUCACAAUAAAUAUAGAUGGAUUAAUCUUUUUUAUUAAGCUAAUUUGUUGAAAGGCACAGAGAGAGACCUUUCAUCUGCUUGGUCACUCCCCAGAUGACUAAGCCAGAGCUGGAAUAAGCC